UACGUAGGGGGCAAGCGUUGUCCGGAAUUAUUGGGCGUAAAGAGCUCGUAGGCGGUUUGUCGCGUCUGCUGUGAAAACCUAGGGCUUAACCCUGGGCCUGCAGUGGGUACGGGCAGACUAGAGUGCGGUAGGGGAGACUGGAAUUCCUGGUGUAGCGGUGAAAUGCGCAGAUAUCAGGAGGAACACCGGUGGCGAAGGCGGGUCUCUGGGCCGUAACUGACGCUGAGGAGCGAAAGCAUGGGGAGCAAACAGG
rnacentral:rRNA from 1 species